GUGCUUGCUUCAGCAGCUCAUACACUACAAUUGGGACGAUACAGAAAAGACUCACAUGGCUCCUGCACAGGGAUGACAAAUUCAUGGAGCAUUCCAUAUUUUU